GAUUAGUGGCGCACGGGUGAGUAAUAUAUAGAUAACGUGCCUCUUANUCUGGGAUAGCCAUUGGAAACGGUGAUUAAUACUAGAUACUCCUUCUUAUUCCAAUAUAAGUCGGGAAAGUUUUUCGCUAAGAGAUCGGUCUAUAUCCCAUCAGGUAGUUGGUAGUGUAAGAGACUACCANGCCAAUGACGGGUANCGGGUUUGAGGAGGAUGAUCCGCCACACUGNUACUGAGACACGGACCANACUCCUACGGGAGGCAGCAGUGAGGAAUAUUGCACAAUGGGGGAAACCCUGAUGCANCANCNCCGCGUGGAGGAUGACGCAUUUCGGUGUGUAAACNCCUUUUAUGANUCAAGAAAAUGACGGUAGCUCAUGAAUAANCACCGGCUAACUCCGUGCCNNCAGCCGCGGUNAUACGGAGGGUGCANGCGUUAUUCGNAAUCACUGGGCGUANAGGACGCGUAGGCGGGUUGCCAANUCUGAUGUGAAAUCCUACAGCUCAACUGUAGA
rnacentral:rRNA from 1 species